UUACUUUUUCUUUUUAUUUUUAUUUCUUUUUUGGUUGUUGCAAUGAGUGUCUAUGUAUUCUAAGUACCAAUUUCAUAUGUACUGGAGAAGCCACCUAAUACUAAUGCAUCAAAGAGAAACAGAAAAUGAGAUAUCAAUCAAAAAUCUGGAAACCAUGGUAUUUUGGUAAUAAUAGUAACACUAUUCUCUGUCUCUGAAGUCUAAAGCCCUCAUGACUGUGUGUAUAUAUAUAUAUAAAAUAAGACAACAACUACCUACAAAAACAAAGAUCUCAACACACACUGCAGCAAAUGGAAGAUACAUAAAAAGGAAAGACGAAACACAAGGUUGUAGUCAAUAGUUUAUGUAGUGAUGCUGACUGUCGGGUCCUUCGGGACUCAGUCUUUGAGUGCUGUAAUCAUUAUUAUAUCGUCCAUUAAUAUUUUCUGCAAUUGAACGAUGAUCGUGAGUAGCUGUGGUUGUUGCUGAUGAUGACGACGACUCUUUCUUGUUUCGAAGCAUGUUGCUUACAAUUGUAGGACUCAGUGGCCGUGUCUCAGUUCCACCACUUAGAAGAAGAAGCAACACCACCACCAAAAUACACCCCAUAUUCCUCAUCAUCAUCAACUUCCUCAUGUACAUAUAUCCUAUAAUAAGCUAAGGAUGUUUUGCUCGUAUAGCUAGGUAUAGAGCUAUACACAUAUUGUGGUAUUUAUAGUAUAG
rnacentral:lncRNA from 1 species